AGUUUCUUGAAACAGCUCCAUAUUCUUUCUCCUGGCCUCCCACAUAUUCCCUGGGCUAGAAAUCUCUUUCUUGAUUUUAAUCUUGGCGGCCACCCUCCAUGACAGCCUUAGGUCUGCACAUUCAUCGAGAGAGCCUUGCUUCCUUCCCAGAACCCUGCACACGGGUGUACAUGGGUACACAUACAUGCACACACACAUGCACACACAUAUGCACACACAUGUACACACUUACAUGCACGCACGCGCACACACACAUAUACACACACACAUCCUUUGUUAGGAGUGAGUUUACUACUACAUUCUGGCCUGUCUCCCACAUUCGAGUCAGGCGAAGGGGAACAGCAGCUUUGAAGAUGGAUUUAACCAGUUCUUCCUGAGGGCGGAUUGCGGUCUCCUUAUCUGACCCUUGCUGAGAGAGAAGGAGCAGCGUGGAGGAGGCGGCAGUCAGGGAAGCCUUGUCUCAGUCCAAGAGCAAAGUGACUACUGUGUGCUGAGCACUGGAGCUUGGUGACCCAAAGAUGAAUAAGACUCGACUCUUAUCCUUAAGGAGCCUGCAGUCUGAUCAAGUCAUUACUGAGAAGAGAGGAAGGAAAAGAUACCCUUGGCCUUUCCAACUUGUCAAGGGUCAACUGAAUUCCUGAGCUGGUCCCCCUGAGAGGGCAGUGGGCGAGAUUCCAGCAGGUAAUGGAUGAGCACAGCUAUGCCCUGACAGGGACAUUGCCUGCAAUUGGUUCCAGUCAUAUAUGGAGCCAAACUGCUUUGAAAAUUGGGGGGGGGAUGGUGACAGAAGAGAGCAGGCCCGCCCCUCCCCCAUCCCCUAGGAGCCUAGGGCCCUGUCUUGAUCCCCCUUCUGGGAGAUGAAACGUGUGGUUUCCCAAAGCUAGGAGCAGAGCAAAUAUCUUCUGCCUCGGAGGGGUUGGUCUCUGCACAGGCUGGGAACCCCCAGGGAAGCAGCACUGAGGGCCCUAGGAGAGAGGGCAGAGGCCAGAGGCAGGGUACUGCCUGCUCAGAAGGUCAGAUUCCAGAGCAAACAGCAAGCUGUCUGCCUUUUCAGACUCUGAAAGGAUGGGGGUAGGGGCAGGAAGGGAGGGUGAAAGUUUAGAGCCUCUGUGGGUGGGGAAGGGGCCUCUAGGGUCUGACAGGCACCCCCAGGACACUGUGUCUGCCCAAGCGUUUGCUGGGAAAGUAGAGGCCAGUGCAGCCACCGGUUGAGUGCCGCCACUGGGUCAGCACAGCGGCCGGGUGAGUGCAGCCCUCGGAUUUUGCCCCAAUAACCAGAGUCCCAUUAGCACAGUCUGAACAGGGGGCCUGGAAGAGCACUUCGCCCUCCUCUGUCAUUUAGGGGGGAAACAGUUCACACAGGGACAACUACCAUCUUGAGUCUCUUCUGUCAACUGCCCUGUGGUCUGUCUGGCCACACUGGGACAGAGCAUCACUCCAGUAAACCCUCUGAGCUCAUUUCCCUAGCUGAGCAGGUUCCCGCCUCUGUUCCUAGAGCACCAGCAUGAGUGAGCCUCAGGAACCACCCCAGAUUUUAGGAGUUAGGAGUGGGUCUAGCUGUGUUGAUGGCCACCUGGGGCUCUGGUGAACUCUAGCCUCCUCCCAUCCGCCCACCGAGGGCAUCGUCAGGCCUCUGUGCUGAGCCAUUUGCCUCCUGCUCUGCCCCAAACCUGUUCAGCCCCCAACAUUCUCACUUUCCUGUCCCCUUCAUGCUUCUUAGGUCAUUUCUCUCUGCUUCUGCAAACCUCCCUGCCAAAUGUUCCCCCACCCCAAACCAACCCUUUUCAUCUCUAUGUCCCCCCGUGUACACCUCUCUCAAAAUGCAGGGCCACGGGGCCCUCCUUCUUAGGGACUAGGCCAUGCCUAGGGGUAGGGCUGGUGUGGCAUUAGUGACAAAAACUGCUAUGUCUACCCACGUAAAUCACAUAAAUAUACAAGCAGGGGCCAGGCGUGGUGGCUCAUGCCUAUAAUCCCAACACUUUGGGAGGCCGAGGCGGGUGGAUAACUUGAGGCCAGGAGUUCAAGACCAGCCUGGCCAACAUAGUGAAACCCCGUCUCUACUAAAAAUACAAAAAUUAGCUGGGGGGGUGGUGGUGCACGCCUGUAAUCCCAGCUACUCAGGAGGCUGAGGCAGGAGAAUCGCUUGAACCCGGGAGGUAGAGGUUGCAGUGAGCCGAGAUCUUGCCAUUGCACUCCAGCCUGGGCAACAGAGUGAGACUCUGUCUC
rnacentral:lncRNA from 1 species